UCCUGGGAUAAUAUGGCAGCCAGCUUCUGUGCAGAUCCUGUUCAAGAGGUCAGUGAACCUUAAUGCAUUUUCCGUUGAGCUGCACCUCAUUUCAGCUUUGCUUUACAAAACCAUGAUGAGGAUAGGAUGGCAGUGUUUCAGUGGGAAACAUUCACACAUGAAAAGUGAAGGCUUAAAGGUGAGGAUGAGCUAAUGCAAAAAUUAAGUUCCUAGAGCAAUAUUUUCUCUGCUUGC
rnacentral:lncRNA from 1 species